rnacentral:piRNA from 1 species
UGAAAGGGAAGAACCAGCGUUUGGGAGC